GCAUACAAAUAGUGCCGCUACAGUUCUUUAUCUCUUUUUCGGGCUUCGACUUCUCUAUAUUGCAUGGAGAUCAUCAGAUUCAAAGGCUUCCCAGAAAAAGGAAAUAGAGGAAGUGGAAGAGAAGCUAGAAGCUGGACAAGGGAAAGCAGCUUUCAGGCGAUUCUUUUCUAGAUUCCUUACACCCAUAUUUUUGGAGGCCUUUAUCUUGACCUUCCUGGCAGAGUGGGGAGACCGUAGCCAGAUAGCAACAAUUGCUCUAGCUACACACAAAAACGCAAUUGGAGUUGCUGUUGGGGCAACAAUAGGACACACUAUAUGUACUUCAGUGGCAGUGAUAGGUGGAAGCAUGCUUGCAUCCAAGAUCUCACAGCGAACAGUAGCUACAAUCGGAGGCCUACUUUUCCUCGGGUUUUCCUUGUCAUCGUAUUUCUAUCCACCUCUAUGAUUUUGACUUUCAUACAAUCUAAUUCUUCAGGAAUCGCGUUGCUCCAGUCUUUUCUCGGUUUUUCCAUAAGUAGGCUUAAGAGGGAAACAAAUUAUUUGUACUACAGGAGUUUAACCUUGAUUUUUUUUGUGUGUAAAUGCAAGCAUAUUGAAUAUGUUUUACAUGAAUCAGA
rnacentral:misc_RNA from 1 species